CGUGGAUUGACUGGAGGUUCCGAAGAUUUCAAUUACAUCAUCGAAUUGUAAAAGGUUAAAGAAAAUUUCAUAAUGUUCGAGCUUUUAAGAAGUCCGGCCCUGAAAUCAACUAAGUGAGGAGCCGAAAAUGAUUCACAGUUUCGUACAACGACUUUGAGAACUGAUUUGCAAUUCUUGUCAUGCACGUUCGUGUUCUCAUUGACGGACUGAAUGUUCCGGAGAUCUCAAAUACGUUAUCGACUUGGAAAAGAUGUUUAUAGAAACUGUCAACUGAUCGUGUCGCUCAUGUUCUUUGUACGAACAAUUGAUGUAGAAUCAGAGCCAUCGGGCGAAGAGCAAAUGGCGCGAAGACGGAAGAUAGAAUUUCUAAUCUUCGCAGGAGGAUUCUUCACUUGUGUGGUACUACAAAUUCAUUCUCGUCUGUCGAUCUAUUAGUUAUUCAGCAAGGAAUGGCUAGAUAGGGUUCGACAGACGAAAAGACUAGGUGUUUCAAUGGCUCUUAUUAAAAAUGUUUACAGAAGAACAACACAGUCCGGCGGGUUAGUGCAAUUUAAGAAUCCGAAUGAUUUUUAAUGAUAAUCUGCUCUUUAUGGGCGUGUACAUGAUGUAUAAAUUAAUCACUAUAAAUUGCUGAUUGUACUUUUAUUUAGUAUCAUUCUGAUGUAUCGGUCCACACAGUAAUAAUUCGUGGUCUAUUUGAUACCAUUAAUUUUUAAAAUAGGGGCAAACUAACACCAUUUUUCUUUUAUUAUUGCCGAAACCUUUCUGUCAGCAUUAUUAGCAAUGCGAUCUUUGAAAUGAAACCAA